rnacentral:rRNA from 1 species
UACAGAGGGUGCGAGCGUUAAUCGGAAUUACUGGGCGUAAAGCGUGCGUAGACGGUUAUUUAAGUCGAUUGUGAAAUCCCCGGGCUUAACCUGGGAACUGCAGUCGAGACUGUCUAGCUAGAGUAUGGGAGAGGGAAGUGGAAUUUCAGGUGUAGCGGUGAAAUGCGUAGAUAUCUGAAGGAACAUCAGUGGCGAAAGCGGCUUCCUGGACCAGUACCGACGUCAGGCACGAAAGCGUGGGGAGCAAACAGG